CAUUUUAAUACCUAUUGUUAUAGGAGUUAUUCAGAAUGGUAUUUGACAUGUAAAAUGUGCAGGAUCUAAAACAGUAGCAAAAAUAACACUACCACUUGUUUUCAAAGCAAGGACCUACACAUGCACGAUAUAAAUUGUAUACCUUAUGCACACAAACACAUUUGCAUGAGGAAAAAAAAGGUUGUAACUCAUAGGAUCAGGCUAGAUUUCCAGUCUUGCAGUUUCUUCCUAAAUUUAGUGUAUCCACACACUGUAGAAGUUAAUUGGCCUGUAUAGAACACCUAGAUUGCCAUUUCUUUAG